GACGAACGCUGGCGGCGCGCUUAACACAUGCAAGUCGAACGGAAAGGCCUGCUUUCCCUUGUGGAUUGCGGGUACUCGAGUGGCGAACAGGUGAGUAACACGUGAGUGAUCUGCCCCCAACUUGGGUAUAAGCCUGGGAAACUGGGUCUAAUUCCCGAUAGGACUGCAGGGUGGUGCCUGUGGUGGAAAACGAUUUUCUAGUGGUUGGGGAUGAGCUCGCGGCCUAUCAGCUUGUUGGUGGGGUAAUGGCCUACCAAGGCGGCGACGGGUAGCCGGCCUGAGAGGGUGGACGGCCACAGUGGGACUGAGAUACGGCCCAGACUCCUACGGGAGGCAGCAGUGGGGAAUAGUGCACAAGGGGCGGAAGCCUGAUGCAGCGACGCCGCGUGGGGGAUGACGGCCUUCGGGUUGUAAACUCCUUUCGACCGCGAGGAAGCCACCUGGUUGGAAGGGUGGUGACGGUAGUGGUAGAAGAAGCACCGGCUAACUACGUG
rnacentral:rRNA from 1 species